CCUACGGGAGGCAGCAGUAGGGAAUAUUGCUCAAUGGGGGAAACCCUGAAGCAGCAACGCCGCGUGGAGGAUGAAGGUUUUCGGAUUGUAAACUCCUUUUGGUAGAGAAGAAAAUGACGGUACGUAACGAAUAAGGACCGGCUAACUCCGUGCCAGCAGCCGCGGUAAUACGGAGGGUGCAAGCGUUACUCGGACUCACUGGGCGUAAAGAGCGCGUAGGCGGGAUAGCAAGUCAGAUGUGAAAUCCUAUGGCUUAACCAUAGAACUGCAUUUGAAACUGUUAUUCUAGAGUAUGGGAGUGGUAGGUGGAAUUCUUGGUGUAGUGGUGAAAUCCUUAGAGAUCACGAGGAAUACUCAUUGCGAAGGCGACCUGCUAGACCAUAACUGACGCUGAUGCGCGAAAGCGUGGGGAGCAAACAGGAUUAGAUACCCUUGUAGUC
rnacentral:rRNA from 1 species